rnacentral:tRNA from 1 species
GGAGAGGUGGCCGAGUGGCUGAAGGCGCACGCCUGGAAAGUGUGUAUACUCUAACCGAGUAUCGGGGGUUCGAAUCCCCCUCUCUCCG